AUUGAACGCUGGCGGCAUGCUUUACACAUGCAAGUCGAACGGCAGCGCGGGCUUCGGCCUGGCGGUGAGUGGCGAACGGGUGAGUAAUACAUCGGAACGUGCCCAGUAGUGGGGGAUAGCUCGGCGAAAGCCGGAUUAAUACCGCAUACGACCUGAGGGUGAAAGCGGGGGAUCUUCGGACCUCGCGCUAUUGGAGCGGCCGAUGGCAGAUUAGCUAGUUGGUGGGGUAAAGGCCUACCAAGGCGACGAUCUGUAGCUGGUCUGAGAGGACGACCAGCCACACUGGGACUGAGACACGGCCCAGACUCCUACGGGAGGCAGCAGUGGGGAAUUUUGGACAAUGGGCGAAAGCCUGAUCCAGCAAUGCCGCGUGUGUGAUGAAGGCCUUCGGGUUGUAAAGCACUUUUGGCGGGAACGAAAAGGACUGUGCCAAUACCACGGUUCGAUGACGGUACCCGCAGAAUAAGCACCGGCUAACUACGUG
rnacentral:rRNA from 1 species